GGUUGGUUGGCAAACGCCAGGAGCGGACUCAAAAUCCGCCGACCUUCGGGUCUUGGGGGUUCGACUCCCCCUCCCGGCACCA
rnacentral:tRNA from 1 species